ACGAUGUUCCGCUGCAAUGAUGGAAAAGCAUUGGUAUGAGCAUCUG
rfam:Anoxybacillus sp. B7M1, complete genome.